CCUACGGGAGGCAGCAGUGAGGAAUAUUGGUCAAUGGGCGAGAGCCUGAACCAGCCAAGUCGCGUGAGGGAGUACUGCCCUAUGGGUUGUAAACCUCUUUUGUCGGGGAGCAAAAGCCGGACGUGUCCGGCUGUGAGAGUACCCGAAGAAAAAGCAUCGGCUAACUCCGUGCCAGCAGCCGCGGUAAUACGGAGGAUGCGAGCGUUAUCCGGAUUUAUUGGGUUUAAAGGGUGCGCAGGCGGGUUUUUAAGUCAGCGGUAAAAUCGUGGGGCUCAACCCCAUCCAGCCGUUGAAACUGGGGAUCUAGAGUGUGCGAGAGGUAGGCGGAAUGCGUGGUGUAGCGGUGAAAUGCAUAGAUAUCACGCAGAACCCCGAUUGCGAAGGCAGCAUACCGGUGCACAACUGACGCUCAGGCACGAAAGCGUGGGUAUCGAACAGGAUUAGAUACCCUAGUAGUC
rnacentral:rRNA from 1 species